rnacentral:lncRNA from 1 species
GCCGUAGGUUUCACUAGUGGCUUCUCUCAAGAAAAUAGCAAGCGGUGUAUAGACAAAUUACUGUUGGGCAAUUGAUAGAAAAGAAAAUAAUUAUGACGAUUUUCAAGACAAUGAUCAUGUAAAUAGGCAUCACAUCCAAGAUAAGUAGACCGACUUCUACCUGCAUUUACUUCUAUUACUCCACACAUCGACCGCUAUCUGGCAUGCAUGUAGUGUAUUGAGUUCAUGGAGAAAUGAAGUAAUGCCUUGAGAACGAUGACAUGAUGUAGACAAGAUUUAUUCAUGUAGGAAUAGACCCCAUCAUUUUAUCCUUGAUAGGAACGAUACAUGUGUGUCAUGUGUCUUUCUUUCACUGAGAUUGAGCACCGCAAGAUCAAACCCAUCACAAAGAACCUCUUCCCAUUGCAAGAUAAAAGAU